rnacentral:lncRNA from 1 species
GUGGUUCCAGGUGAAGGACACCAUGUAGAUAAGAGAGCUACGAGAUAAAUUGGCUAGGUCACAUGGGUGGUAUUGAGUGUUCACCAUGUGUACAAGAGAGCCGAACUAUAUGAUGGGUGGAGCUAUGUGCUGAAACAACCAAGUAUCGAGGAUUGAUUCGAAGUGUUCAACGGGAGACUCUCUAUGUAUUGCUUUGUGAGUUUUG